AAAUAAGAAGUAAUAUUUUACAUAUUAAUUUCGACUUAAUAAUAGAUUUAAAAAUCCUUAUUUA
rnacentral:tRNA from 1 species